rnacentral:lncRNA from 1 species
GACUGACGGCGCCGGCCGCCCCUGCCCGUCGCCCGCCCGCUGCUGCCGCCCGCCCGGGGUGUGGAGCCCGGCCGCUGCUCGCGGGCUGAGUGUCUGUCGCUGCUGCCGCCUCCACCCAGCCUCCGCCAUGGACCUCUUCGGGGACCUGCCGGAGCCCGAGCGCUCGCCGCGCCCGGCUGCCGGGAAAGAAGCUCAGAAAGGACCCCUGCUCUUUGAUGACCUCCCUCCGGCCAGCAGUACUGACUCAGGAUCAGGGGGACCUUUGCUUUUUGAUGAUCUCCCACCCGCUAGCAGUGGCGAUUCAGGUUCUCUUGCCACAUCAAUAUCCCAGAUGGUAAAGACUGAAGGGAAAGGAGCAAAGAGAAAAACCUCCGAGGAAGAGAAGAAUGGCAGUGAAGAGCUUGUGGAAAAGAAAGUUUGUAAAGGUUUUCAGACAAUUUGAAAACAAAUGUAUUAGACUUCAUAUUUUAAAACAACCCAGAGCAAAACCAGUUUCAGCUUUCUAAUAAUACUUUCUUUUUAUGUCUGUAUUUAAGAAAUAAGUAGGGUUCCCUUUUUGCAAAUGAAUUUCCAAGUUUCUCUGUGCU